AUGAGUGGGAACGUAGUGCACCUCAGUGCCACUCAGUGCCCUCAGUGCCCUCAGUGCCCUCAGUGCCCCUCUGUGCCCCUCAGUGCUUCUCAGUGCCCCUCAGUGCCAUCAGUGUCCCUCAGUGCCACUCAGUGCCCCUCAGUCCCCUCAGUGCCCCUCAGUGCCAUCAGUGCCCCUCAGUGCCCCUCAGUGCCCCCUAAGUGCCCCCAGUGCCCCUCAGUGCCCUCAGUUCCCCUCAGUGCCCUCAGUGCCCCUAAGUGCCACUCAGUGCCCCUCAGUGCCCCUCUGUGCCACUCAAUGCCCCUCAGUGCCACUCAGUGCCACUCAGUGCCCUCAGUGCCAUCAGUGCCACUCAGUGUCCUCAGUGCCCCUCAGUGCCAUAAGUGCCAUUCAGUGCCACUCAGUGCCCUCAGUGCCCCUCAAUGCCCCUCAGUGCCCCUCAGUGCCCCUCAGUGCCCCUCAAUGCCCCUCAGUGCCCCUCAGUGCCCCUCAGUGCUCCUCAGUGCUUCUCAGUGCCAUCAGUGCCCUCAGUGCCCCUCAGUGCCCCUCAAUGCCCCUCAGUGCCCCUCAGUGCCCCUCAGUGCUUCUCAGUGCCACUCAGUGCCCUCAGUGCCACUCAGUGCCACUCAGUGCCCCUCAGUGCCCCUCAGUGCCACUCAGUGCUCCUCAGUGCCCCUCAGUGCCACUCAGUGCCACUCAAUGCCCCUCAGUGCCCCUCUGUGCCACUCAAUGCCCCUCAGUGCCACUCAGUGCCCCUCAGUGCCACUCAAUGCCCCUCAGUGCCGCUCAGUGCCCCUCAGUGCCAUCAGUGCCAUCAGUGCCCCUCAGUGCCCCUCAGUGCCUCUCUGUGCCACUCAAUGCCCCUCAAUGCCCCUCAGUCCCCUCAGUGCCACUCAGUGCCCUCAGUCCCCUCAGUCCCCUCAGUGCCCUCAGUGCCCCUCAGUCCCCUCAGUGCCACUCAGUGCCCCUCAUUGCCCCUCAUUGCCCCUCAUUGCCCCUCAUUGCCACUCAUUGCCCCUCAGUGCGCAGGGAGGUGAUGGAGUCAGCAAACAGUGA
rnacentral:lncRNA from 1 species